rnacentral:rRNA from 1 species
UACCAGCACCCCGAGUGGUCGGGACGAUUAUUGGGCCUAAAGCAUCCGUAGCCGGUUCUACAAGUCUUCCGUUAAAUCCAACUGCUUAACAGGUGGGCUGCGGAAGAUACUAUAGAGCUAGGAGGCGGGAGAGGCAAGCGGUACUCGAUGGGUAGGGGUAAAAUCCGUUGAUCCAUUGAGGACCACCAGUGGCGAAGGCGGCUUGCCAGAACGCGCUCGACGGUGAGGGAUGAAAGCUGGGGGAGCAAACCGG